CCUACGGGUGGCUGCAGUGGGGAAUAUUGGACAAUGGGCGAAAGCCUGAUCCAGCCAUGCCGCGUGUGUGAAGAAGGCCUUCGGGUUGUAAAGCACUUUCAGUGGGGAAGAAAGCCUUGGGGCUAAUACCCUCGAGGAAGGACAUCACCCACAGAAGAAGCACCGGCUAACUCCGUGCCAGCAGCCGCGGUAAUACGGAGGGUGCGAGCGUUAAUCGGAAUUACUGGGCGUAGAGCGCGCGUAGGCGGUCUGAUAAGCCGGUUGUGAAAGCCCCGGGCUCAACCUGGGAACGGCAUCCGGAACUGUCAGGCUAGAGUGCAGGAGAGGAAGGUAGAAUUCCCGGUGUAGCGGUGAAAUGCGUAGAGAUCGGGAGGAAUACCAGUGGCGAAGGCGGCCUUCUGGACUGACACUGACGCUGAGGUGCGAAAGCGUGGGUAACAAACAGGAUUAGAUACCCCAGUAGUC
rnacentral:rRNA from 1 species